UGGGUACCGACUGCUCCAGAAGGAGGAAAGUGUGAGACAGCACCAGCUCUGUGCCCUCUGUAUGACUGUCUAAGAAGGGUUUCAAAAGAGCUGCUGGAGAUCAAGCAUUCUCUCUCCUUGUGGCAGCAGCUACAUGAGGACUGUGAGAAAACAGGUUUACAUACACACAAGAAGAAGACAUGCUUCCAACAAAUCUCUAUGAACUGGGACACAAGGCCUGAGGAGUGUCAUGCUGGUAGAAACUGUGAGGUAGAGAGCACUGGAGGGUGAAUUCUUAUCUUUAUAGAAAAAGACUACAGAUCCUGCAGAGAGAAUGUGAAGUUUCAAAUUUUAUCCGCUCAAAGACAAGCCAAUUAUACAGCAUCAUCUGAAUGUUUUACCUUCCUCAUCUGGUAUGCCCCACUAUGUGACUACAGAGUUCAGCUGGCUUGUAGCAUCAGUGUGACAGUAGUGCAACUGUCCAGUCUUCACAGCAGUGUUCAGGACUGACCAGCUGGUAGCUGAUUUCCUGCUACAAGAUCUUGUCUGAAAGCUGCACUCUGGGAGAGUGUGAAGGCUGAAGGUGGAAAACAAACUUAAAGAUGCUUUGUCCCAUUCGCACACAUUUAAAGUGACUCUGGAACUGGAGAGCAUCUAGGAGUGGCCACAGUAUUAUAAUUCAGCAACAACAGGCCUUGGACAAUCUCAAGGGUCAUCAGGUGAAUUCCUUUCUUCAAAUAACCCCAAAGAGAGGGUGAGGCAACUUAUUGAGCAAAUGAGCUCUGAAAUUACACAUAUGGGAAAAAAUAUGGCAGCAGUCAGCAUGUGUGGGUUACCCUGUCACAGAAGAGAAGAACUACUUCUCCCAGAGGACUAUUUGCUGUUCUGUUUCUGUUUUCCACUCAGAGGAAAAGAAAAAAGCUGUUCACAGAUGACAAGACAACCCCUUUUUUGACAUUCUGGCUUGUCUCUGCUCCCAGCCAUAUCACCUCAGAUUACUUAGAAUAAGGCCUUCAGUUUUCAGACACUCUCUCUCAUUUUAUUUAUUGGCUUCAAUUCUAAUUAUAUUGUGUUAUAUUGUAUUAUAGUGUGUUAUCUUGCAUUCCGAUAUCUUAUUUAGCAAAAUCCAUAGACUCAUAGAAUCAAAAUUAGUUUGUUUCUCUUCAGAUUGUUGCUGCCCUACCCUUUCCACUUUUCACCUUUUCCUUUUCCCAGGGCAUGGGUCCGUCGGUUACCCUGCCCCACUAGUCAUGGAACCUGGCUGAACUGGCCCAUAAACUGUUGACAUAGGAUCAGUUGAGGGCCCUUCUCGAAAACUUUCUGGACUCAAAGGCCAUCUAAGCACACUAAUUAGCAUUCAGGGGUCAUCUGAGGUUACGACUUGGCCAGUGAGGUUAUCUGAGGUCACCCAUCCAAAAAUGUUGGGACUCAAAGGUCAUCUGAGGACACCAGUUAGCACUCAGGGGUCAUCCGAGGACACAACACAGCCAGUGAGGUCAUUUGAGAUCUCUGCUAAAAAAAAUUUCUGGACUUGCUUAAAGGUCCUUUGAGAUUCCCUAUUAGUAUGUGAGGUCAUUCACUGUCAUUAUUUCAAACCUCUCUGCAGCUCCUGAUUUCCUUGAAUUUGGUGGUACUUCACUAUAGUGGGCAGUUUGAUCAGCUCCCCUCUCUACUUCCAGGAUCCAGUCAGCAGUUCUGAGUCCACUGAGCCCCAAACCCAUACCCCAUGUCAUGCUUCUUGCACUCAGCAUGCAGAAGGAGCAACAGUGACACUUUCCUUGGCCUCUUACUUCUCUUACAGGUGUUCUUUUUUGUUUUUCUUUCUUUUUUUAUUUUUGCCUGUUCAUGUGACCAUCUCACUUUUGCUUUAUGGAUUGAAUUCUCCUUUCUUACACGCUGACUACUUACUUAAAAUGCUUAGACAGUUGUACUGGGGCUCAGGAUAACAGAGAAAACCAACACCACUCUGUACCCACUGGUAUGCAGUAAUAGAAAGUAGACUUACUUCAUGCUGGAGAUAGUGUCAAACACAAGACUGUAAAAUCACAAAUUUAUUUUAUUCCACUGUUAUUUAUUUUAUAAAGAAAAUAAUUAGACCAUCACCAGCUCCACAGCUGCUCCCAUCGACCAGCUUUAUUACAUUCCACCAAGCCAACACUGUUUCAGUGCUGUAUAUUCUCAGCUUCAUUGUGGGAUGAAAGCUAAUGGCCAACAGUUUUUUUAAAAUGCUGAGAGCAGGAAAAGAAGAACAGUGUGAAGUAAGUGAAGGCGAUAAUAUUGCCUUCUACCAUGAUAUAAACGUGUGUGUAAAGGUGUUCAUCAAGAUUUAGUUUAGAAGAGCAUUCAGGGACAAGAGGCUUACCCUUUCUGGAAGGUUGGUGAAGUCUCCAGAUGGGCUUUGUUUGAUGCAGCUCAGGAUACAGUUGGCUUUCUGGGUUGCAAGGGCACAUUGCUGGUUCAUGGCCAGAUGCCAUCCACCAAUACCCCCAGGUCCUUUGGCAAGGCCGAGCUACAUCCUUUCAUUCCCUAACUUGUACUGAUAGUGGGAAUUGCUGUAACCCAAGUGCAAGUCUUUGCUUUAGUCAAUAAAUUAUGGCUGUCUAGACUGCAUAUUCUGCUAUGCAAGUAGGCAUGACAGGUAUAUACACUCACAUACUCAGGUUUCAUUGUUUUAUAUUGACAGGAGAAAUCUUGGCAGUUGUUAGUUGCAAUCUGUGUAGUGCUGCAUACAUGGAUUCUGAAAAAUUCAACUUAAUCAGUUUAACCAAUAUAGGAAUCUAUGCAGAGCCAACAGGAAAUCAAAGAUUUUACAACCUGCUCAUAAUGUCCUGUAUGCUAACUUCCCCAUCUGUAACCAAGCCAAUACAUAAGUGCAGUAGUAGAUUCUGUCAUCACUCAGAGAUGUACUUUACUGCUAGAUCCACUCUUUAGCUUUGAAUUUAUUAAAAAAAAAAAAAAAAAAAAAAAGCAAGCCCUGCUUUAAGGAGAUCUCCUGUCUUCAGCCAGGAUUUAGCUGAUAUUCUGGAGAUGACUCAGAUUCUAGCAAAAAUGCGCAUCAGUGUAGGAAUGCAGAGCAAACACAAAAAGUCCUCUCUCUUCCAGACUGCAGCAAUAAGAAAAAAAGGUCAGUCUGGAAAGAUUAAAGAGCUUUGUCAGUUCCGAAAUAUUCUUCAGGAGCCUAAAGCUCAGGAGACAGAACACACACGCAAGAAAUAUGUAUGUAUAUUUUUAGUCAGCCAAAUAUGCCGAGUCUGGCUUGGGUUUUUAAAGAGAUUACUCCACUGUUGACAGUGAGACAGCUGAGCACUGCAACCAUAAGGCUGAGUGUGAUCCUUCCCACUUCAAUUAGCCUCAGCAUGUUCAUUAGUGGCAGCUGAGACACAGCUGGGCCUACAAAUUGAAAAUCCCAUAAGGAACUACUGCUUAAGGUAGUUUAAUGCAGAACUGAUUAAUUGUAGGUGGUAUCUAACUAAUGAAGUUAUGCAAUGAUUUAUAUCACAGUAAAAAACACAACAAUUUAUGGUCAUAUUGGUCAGAUCACAGUACACCAAGGAGUUCCCUACAGUGAUUCCAUGAUUCUGGAUUUAGUUAUCUAUCGGCAAUCCCUAUUGUAGGGAUAGUUUAGUAUUUAGAUCAUUAUAGUCUAUUUGCCCACUCACAUCACUUUAUGUGAAACCUUAAUGCAUGAGUGCUACAUCUGACACCCCAGUUGGAAUCUAACAGCUUGAAAAAAUGGGCUCUUACUGCUCAUGCAAUAAAUAAAUCCUGCUUUCUACUGGCACCAUUUAAUGCUCACCUCCUUUCUGUCAGGUUCUUUCUUUGAAAUAAAAGCUCUUCCACCCCCUUUUCCUCUUAGGACCAGUAUGUUUCCUACAGUGAAAGAAGCACCAUGCACUGAGACCACACUGGCUCUGCAGGCCCUAUGAAUGGGGGAAUCCAUCAGCAAGUGCCAUACUAAUGAAGGACCUUGGUUGGUGUGGCAGAAAUACAGCCUGAACCAGUGAUUGAGCACCUGGUAGGAAGGCAGGGCCAACCCUGGGGAGCUAAGUCAUAUGCAGUGCACCUGAGUGACAGGAAGGGAUGAAGCCAGGAUCCACCCCUUCCAUCAUUUAAGCAUUGGCAGAGGCAAUGAAGGUAUUUCACUUGAGAUCUCUGCCUACCUGAGGCCCUCCAAAGGACAGAAAGCACUUGCAAUCCCUGAUGUGCACAGAGCCCCAGAAAUACCAGUUUCUGCCACAUUUUAUUGUCCCUGCCUAACAAUCCUUGGCACUAGAGAGGAUUAACAACAGGAUGAUGGUUAUAAUCAUACCAGGCCUGCCAAGCAUUAGCUGAGUGCCAUUAAAGGCCCAAGAAUUUCAGCUGGAACUACAGUUCUAUGGGCUUCAUAAGUAUCAGAGCUACGAACACAAAACUACUGUUAACGAAGAAAAACUAACUUGCAGAGGAACCAAUGUAAAGGGUGACUCGAGUUUCCACAGAAGCCCGAAGGACAGAAGUCAGAAGCUGAAGAAAUCAGACCACCAUGCUGUUCUCACCAUCAGGAACACACUUCACCUGGGCAGUGUUCCCAGCGCCGUGCUUAUCUCCCAGCCCUCUUUUGCAUAGCAAAUGAAGGGUCAUCUGAAUUAGGGGAUGGACACAAAAGCUGACAUAUAGCCUGACACACAACCAGGCAUAUAUUUCUUUGCAGCAGAGAGAAACUCUCCUCCACUCCCCUUCACAUUUCUAUCAGUCUUUGUGCAUUAAAUUCACCAUAGUUCAGGAAGAUACUUGUAGAGGACGCAUCAAACACACUUUGGGUGCUACACUAAUUAUACAUCCAGCUACUUUUUGAGAGUUUAUGGUUUUGUAAACUUUGUCCCAGUUUGAACAGACUGCGUCUGAUGAAACACUGGAAUAAUCCUUCUGCUUCAGAAUACAACUGAAGUAAUACAACUUCUCAUAUUUGAUAUUAUCCUACUCCACAAAUAACCUUAUUUAAAGAACUUCAAAGUGAAGUCUGCUAUCUGAUUUCCUUUGUACUGGAUUCUGAGUCGAAUUAUUUUCAAGACAGGAUCCAUGCGUUCCAGUUGCUGCACAAAAUAUAUCCCCCUCUACAAUGAGUUUAACAAAAGAAAAUCCAAAAGAAAGCAUAUUAUUCUAAAUCCGAAUCACUGAUUUGUUUCCUAGAGAAAGCAGGUGAGUAGGAUCAUUUUAAAGCUGGAGUAAGAAGUAUAAGGAAUGAUUUAGUUGCACUCUGCCCUUUUCCUCACUGAAAACAGAGCAAGCUGCACAAAGGUCAAGCAGGACCAGCUCUCCAUGCAACUGCAUUGAAAUGGUAGAGCCCUGCAGUAGGUUUGCAGAGUCGCCUGGAGUACUGGAAACAAUCACAAUUUAUAAAAUAUGUCUCAGUAACAGAUUCCAAUAAAUGCUGAGUGAAGGCUUUUUUUUUUAUGCUUGGGAUAUGAUGGAGAAGCAGCUCUCCCUGUUUUACGGACAAGAAUUUGGCUCUUGAAACAAGUCAGCUAUUGGCAUGAAAUAAAAUGCAAAUGUUAAUUCACAGAGAAAAAAGACUAGAAAAUGAGGAAGGUAUAAAGGAAGAGUCAUAGCAAAAGACACUGCCAAGCUUAGUUUAAAAUCUCAAUGCACUAGUCAAUCAUUUCAUGUAUUUUCAUACACUAAUAACAGCAUUCAACAUAAGAAAUAAGAGCAAUGAGAAAUGGCAAAGAAAACAAAUUACAGGCAAUUUAAAAUAGGAAUACUAAUAGUUAUAAUUCUGCAAAGGCAGACCAGAUGUCUUCACAUGUAUUAAACUGUUUACUGUAUUGACUAGAAAUCCUUUCAUAAGCCAGCCUGUUCCCCAAGAUUACAAUAAAACCUUGAUAUGUAUUCAGUGGAGUUGUAUACUUCAGCUUCUGAAGGGAGGAGUUUUAGGGAGCUUGAGGCUACUUGAAGUAAAAAAUAUAGCAACUAACAAGAAUAUAUUCCCAUCUGAGCCCAAAACAGCAGGGUAGUCUGUGGGUUCUAUUCACUCUGAAGUCUUGAUUUUGCCUUCUGGUAUCCUACUGCAAUAUAGAUAUGAUGAAGCUUUCAGUUUCUUAUAACAUCAACAUAACUUUUCAUCUCUGCACCCCUCCAAACCCUCUGGUAUUUCUAUGGCUCACAAGCAUUAGGACACAAGGACAGACAAACCUCUUCUCAUUCUUUAUGUUCAGCUUGUCACAGUAGCCAGAAUUUCAUUUUAAUUAUGCAAGGACCAAUAGUGUUUCUGCACUAAGCACAGCUUUACCAGUGCUGUGAACAUAUCAGGUCAAAGUGGCCAUGUAAGAUUUACCAUUCCUCAGACUGGUGCAAUUCUUCAGUUCUGCUGAAUGUUAGGGUGCAUUUCAGUGACAGUGCCCCUCUUUAACCAGUGGAAAUGAAGAAAGUAUUUUAAUUUCACUAGCAUGCUCAAAA